GCAGUUACCAGUCAGUUGUACUUUAUCCAGUGCUAACUAUAUGAUGUAAACUGAACUAUUGG
ensembl:miRNA